rfam:Mus musculus chromosome 18, GRC primary reference assembly.
GUGCUCACUUUGGCAGCAUAUAUAUUCAAAUUGGAACCACACAGAGAAGAUUAGAAUAGUUCCUGCUUAAGGUUGGGAAAAAAAAAAGAAAGAAAAGAAAGAAAAAA